rnacentral:rRNA from 1 species
AUGGUUAAGUUAGAAAGGGCGCACGGUGGAUGCCUUGGCACUAGGAGCCGAUGAAGGACGGGACGAACACCGAUAUGCUUCGGGGAGCUGUAAGCAAGCUUUGAUCCGGAGAUUUCCGAAUGGGGAAACCCACUGCUCGUAAUGGAGUAGUAUCCAUACUUGAAUACAUAGAGUAUGAGAAGGCAUACCCGGGGAACUGAAACAUCUAAGUACCCGGAGGAAGAGAAAGCAAAUGCGAUUCCCUGAGUAGCGGCGAGCGAAACGGGAACAGCCCAAACCAAGAGGCUUGCCUCUUGGGGUUGUAGGACACUCUAUACGGAGUUACAAAGGAACGAUAUAAGCGAAGAGGUCUGGAAAGGCCCGCCAAAGAAGGUAACAGCCCUGUAACUGAAAUGUUGUUCUCUCCAGAGUGGAUCCUGAGUACGGCGGAACACGUGAAAUUCCGUCGGAAUCCGGGAGGACCAUCUCCCAAGGCUAAAUACUCCCUAGUGACCGAUAGUGAACCAGUACCGUGAGGGAAAGGUGAAAAGCACCCCGGAAGGGGAGUGAAAUAGAUCCUGAAACCGUGUGCCUACAAGUAGUCAGAGCCCGUUAAAGGGUGAUGGCGUGCCUUUUGUAGAAUGAACCGGCGAGUUACGAUCCCGUGCAAGGUUAAGCAGAAGAUGCGGAGCCGCAGCGAAAGCGAGUCUGAAUAGGGCGCAUGAGUACGUGGUCGUAGACCCGAAACCAGGUGAUCUACCCAUGUCCAGGGUGAAGUUCAGGUAACACUGAAUGGAGGCCCGAACCCACGCACGUUGAAAAGUGCGGGGAUGAGGUGUGGGUAGGGGUGAAAUGCCAAUCGAACCUGGAGAUAGCUGGUUCUCUCCGAAAUAGCUUUAGGGCUAGCCUCAAGGUAAGAGUCUCGGAGGUAGAGCACUGAUUGGACUAGGGGCCCCUACCGGGUUACCGAAUUCAGUCAAACUCCGAAUGCCGAUGACUUAUCCUUGGGAGUCAGACUGCGAGUGAUAAGAUCCGUAGUCGAAAGGGAAACAGCCCAGACCGCCAGCUAAGGUCCCAAAGUAUACGUUAAGUGGAAAAGGAUGUGGAGUUGCUUAGACAACCAGGAUGUUGGCUUAGAAGCAGCCACCAUUUAAAGAGUGCGUAAUAGCUCACUGGUCGAGUGACUCUGCGCCGAAAAUGUACCGGGGCUAAACGUAUCACCGAAGCUGCGGACUGUUCUAACGAACAGUGGUAGGAGAGCGUUCUAAGUGCUGUGAAGUCAGACCGGAAGGACUGGUGGAGCGCUUAGAAGUGAGAAUGCCGGUAUGAGUAGCGAAAGACGGGU